rnacentral:misc_RNA from 1 species
CAACCUCUCAAGCUCUGCUUGGUAUUGGGCAUUGUUACAUCUUUUAAUUAAAAGUAACAAGUCUUAAAUGUAGGCAGCGGCAAGUACUAGUUCCGAGCGUAGCAGUAAAACAUUUCGCUUUAGGAGUUUAGUAUAUUGUCAGCUAAAUAGUUAGUCUUACUAUU